rnacentral:rRNA from 1 species
AAUUCGAUGAUACGCGAGGAACCUUACCUGGGUUUAAAUGGGAGUGACAGCUGUCGAAGAUGGUUUCUUCGGACACUCUUCAAGGUGCUGGCAUGGUUGUCGUCAGCUCGUGCCGUGAGGUGUCGGGUUAAGUCCCAUAACGAGCGCAACCCACGUCGUUAGUUGCCAACAGGUCAAGCUGGGAACUCUAACGAGACUGCCGGUGUAAACCGCGAGGAAGGUGUGGAUGACGUCAAAUCAGCAGGCCCUUACAUCCAGGGCUACACACGUGUUACAAUGGUCGGUACAGAGGGCAGCUACCAGGCAACUGGAUGCGAAUCUCAAAAACCGGUCUCAGUUCGGAUUGGAGUCUGCAACCCGACUCCAUGAAGCUGGAUUCGCUAGUAAUCGCGCAUCAGCCAUGGCGCGGUGAAUACGUUCCCGGGCCUU